UACGGAGGGGGUUAGCGUUGUUCGGAAUUACUGGGCGUAAAGCGUGCGUAGGCGGAUUAUUAAGUCAGAUGAGAAAUCCCGGGGCUCAACCUCGGAACUGCCUUUAAUACUGCUAGUCUUGAGUUCGAGAGAGGUGAGUGGAAUUCCGAGUGUAGAGGUGAAAUUCGUAGAUAUUCGGAGGAACACCAGUGGCGAAGGCGGCUCACUGGCUCGAUACUGACGCUGAGGUGCGAAAGUGUGGGGAGCAAACAGG
rnacentral:rRNA from 1 species